rnacentral:rRNA from 1 species
UACAGAGGUCCCAAGCGUUGUUCGGAUUCACUGGGCGUAAAGGGUGCGUAGGCGGUCGGGUAAGUCUGAUGUGAAAUCUCACAGCUUAACUGUGAAACUGCAUUGGAUACUAUCCGGCUCGAGGAAUGGAGGGGAGACUGGAAUACUUGGUGUAGCAGUGAAAUGCGUAGAUAUCGAGAGGAACACCUGUGGCGAAGGCGGCCUUCUGGACAGUGACUGACGCUGAGACGCGAAAGCGUGGGGAGCAAACAGG